UACGUAGGCAGCAAGCGUUGUUCGGAGUUACUGGGCGUAAAGGGUGCGUAGGUGGCUCUAUAAGUAUGGUGUGAAAUCUCCCGCUUAACUGGGAGGGUGCGCCGUAGACUGUGGGGCUAGAGUGUGGGAGAGGAAAGUGGAAUUCCUGGUGUAGCGGUGAAAUGCGUAGAUAUCGGGAGGAACAUCAGUGGCGAAGGCGGCUACCUGGCCCAAUACUGACACUCAGGUGCGGACAGCGUGGGGAGCAAACAGG
rnacentral:rRNA from 1 species